GUAGGGAAUCUUGCGCAAUGGGCGAAAGCCUGACGCAGCAACGCCGCGUGGGGGAUGAAGGCUCUCGGGUUGUAAACCCCUUUCAGCAGGGACGAAUUUUGACGGUACCUGCAGAAGAAGCCCCGGCCAACUACGUGCCAGCAGCCGCGGUAACACGUAGGGGGCGAGCGUUGUCCGGAUUUAUUGGGCGUAAAGAGCUCGUAGGCGGUUCGGUAAGUCGGGUGUGAAAACUCAGGGCUCAACCCUGAGACGCCACCCGAUACUGCUGUGACUAGAGUCCGGUAGGGGAGCGUGGAAUUCCUGGUGUAGCGGUGGAAUGCGCAGAUAUCAGGAGGAACACCAGCGGCGAAGGCGGCGCUCUGGGCCGGAACUGACGCUGAGGAGCGAAAGCGUGGGGAGCAAACAGGAUUAGAAACCCCGGUAGUCC
rnacentral:rRNA from 1 species